CACAAGCACUUUAACAUACUCUAGUGAGGAUGAAGCCCAUCCCAGACAAGUCAGAGGAGACCAGCUCUGAGCUUGGGAGGUUGCACAGCAGCAGGCUAUUCUCUAACAUGCAGGCAGGCCCCAGACUGAGAUCAGCCAUGCACAUAUUAAGAAAUAAUGUCAAGGUAUUUAUAGUCCUGCUCUAAAUGAAAUAUUUAGGGUUUUGUCUUGGCUUUACUCUUUACUCUUACUACUUAUUUUACAAUCUGUUGUUGUGCCAUAUCUAUUGUGAGCAAAGAGUAUCCUUCUGAUGAUCUAUUGCUAAUAGCUAUGCAUUAAUGAUAAUCAACUAAUAGCUGAAAUUGUAGUUUUUAUCUGUAAAUAUUCAUGCAUCAGCAGGAUAGAAAAUAAUUUAAUAAUUAAUAUGUGAAUGUUUCAAGCAAAGGUAAAUAAUCAUA
rnacentral:lncRNA from 1 species